CAGACUCUGACAUUUUCUGAAGUAGACAGACCAGCAUUGAAGUCGUGUUAAAUAUUUUAGGAUUUGCUUGUAAAACAUGUUUCAGAUUCCUGGGUCAGCUCAAUCACCUAGCAAAGCUAGUAUAGAAGAAGAAAAGAAGGUCGCGAAGAAAGCCGUAUGGACGACUGUUGAAGUGUUUGUGGCAUAUGUAGCUAUUCUACGAAUUGCACCAUAUGUUUAUGAUAUGAUAGCAUAAGGAAUACUUGAUUUGUCUGUGCUCGAUGGCAACAUGCUGUACUCCCUAAGAUGAUACUUUACUGUACAUACAUGGAUGGAUAUAUCUACUGUUUAUAAAUGGACAUUGUGAUGUGCUUAUAUAUGGCUUGUGGAAUAAGCUUUUCUGCAUUUUUCUUUACCUGGUUUUGACUUGGUUCUGUCAAACAUUUAUACUAGUAAAUGAUAGAAAGUUCUUGAUUUAUAUUAAUAUUAUCUUGAAUGUACUGUGCAUUUCUUUCUAUGUAUUCUUCUAUAUGGUCUUCUAUAUUCUGGAUGUUAAUCAGGCUCGAAGGAAAUAAUUUCAUUAAAAAAUGAUACUAAGCAUCA